rnacentral:rRNA from 1 species
CGGAGGGUGCGAGCGUUAUCCGGAAUUACUGGGUUUAAAGGGUGCGUAGGCGGCCAUGUAAGUCAGGAGUGAAAGUUUGCGGCUCAACCGUAAAAUUGCUUUUGAUACUGCAUGGCUGGAAUCAGGAUGAGGUCAGCGGAAUGUGGCAUGUAGCGGUGAAAUGCAUAGAUAUGCCAUAGAACACCAAUUGCGAAGGCAGCUGGCUAGACCUGUAUUGACGCUGAGGCACGAAAGCGUGGGGAGCGAACAGGAUUAGAUACCCUGGUAGUCCACGCCCUAAACGAUGCUUACUCGACGUAUGAAGCUGGUCUUUGUGCGUCCAAGGGAAACCGUUAAGUAAGCCACCUGGGGAGUACGACCGCAAGGUUG